rnacentral:tRNA from 1 species
GGCUCAGUGGUAGAGUGCUUGUCUUGCAUGCAUGAGGCCCUGGGUUCGAUUCCCCAG